UACGUAGGCAGCGAGCGUUGUUCGGAGUUACUGGGCGUAAAGAGUGCGUAGGCGGUUUUCUAAGUUUGGUGUGAAAUCUCCCGGCUUAACUGGGAGGGUGCGCCGAAGACUGGAAGGCUAGAGUAUGGGAGAGGUAAGCGGAAUUCCUGGUGUAGCGGUGAAAUGCGUAGAUAUCGGGAGGAACACCAGUGGCGAAGGCGGUUCUCUGGUCUGUCUCUGACGCUGAGGAGCGAAAGCGUGGGGAGCGAACGGG
rnacentral:rRNA from 1 species